AUUCCAGCCUUUCAGAUAGACUCCCAUUCCACCAUCAUUGCUGAGUUCCCUGUAGACUGUCUAUUCCACCAUCAUUGCUGAGUUUCCUGUAGACUGUCUAUUCCACCAUCAUUGCUGAGUUUCCUGCAGACUGUCUAUUCCACCAUCACUGCUGAGUUUCCUGUAGACUGUCUAUUCCACCAUCAUUGCUGAGUUUCCUGUAGACUGUCUAUUCCACCAUCAUUGCUGAGUUCCCUGUAGACUGUCUAUUCCACCAUCACUGCUGAGUUUCCUGUAGACUGUCUAUUCCACCAUCACUGCUGAGUUCCCUGUAGACUGUCUAUUCCACCAUCACUGCUGAGUUUCCUGUAGACUGUCUAUUCCACCAUCAUUGCUGAGUUUCCUGUAGACUGUCUAUUCCACCAUCAUUGCUGAGUUCCCUGUAGACUGUCUAUUCCACCAUCAUUGCUGAGGUGCCUGUAGACUGUCUCUUCCACCAUCAUUGCUGAG